rnacentral:rRNA from 1 species
UACGUAGGUGGCAAGCGUUGUCCGGAAUUAUUGGGCGUAAAGCGCGCGCAGGCGGUCCUUUAAGUCUGAUGUGAAAGCCCACGGCUCAACCGUGGAGGGUCAUUGGAAACUGGGGGACUUGAGUGCAGGAGAGAAGAGUGGAAUUCCACGUGUAGCGGUGAAAUGCGUAGAGAUCCGGAGGAACACCAGCGGCGAAGGCGGCGUCCUGGACUGGUACUGACGCUCAGGAGCGAAAGCGUGGGGAGCGAUCCGG